AAAUUCAAACCUGCAAAACAACAGGACUCAAGCAUUUCGCCAAACACCUCAUGUUUUCCCUUUGAAAAUAAUAAAUUUUUGUGAGGCUUGCUUUAGAUGAUGGUAUUCAAGUGCCACCGAAUUGAGGUUCAAUCCUUGACACUUAAUACCUUCAUCUAAACCAGCAUAACAAAAAUUUAAUAUUUUCAAAGGAGAAACAUGAGGUGCUUGCGAAAUGCUUGAGUCCUGUUGUUUGACAAGUUUGAAUUA
rnacentral:pre_miRNA from 1 species